ACGGCUCAGUAACACGUGGAUAACCUGCCCUAAGGUGGAGGAUAACCCCGGGAAACUGGGGAUAAUACUCCAUAGGUUAAAGGUACUGGAAUGUUCUUUAACCGAAAGCUCCGGCGCCUUAGGAUGGAUCUGCGGCCGAUUAGGUUGUUGUUGGGGUAGUGGCCCAACAAGCCUGUAAUCGGUACGGGUUGUGGGAGCAAGAGCCCGGAGAUGGAAUCUGAGACACGAUUCCAGGCCCUACGGGGCGCAGCAGGCGCGAAAACUUUACAAUGCAGGAAACUGUGAUAAGGGAACCCCGAGUGCCCGUAUAUGCGGGCUGUCCGGAUGUUUAAAACGCAUCCGAAGAAAGGGCCGGGCAAGACCGGUGCCAGCCGCCGCGGUAAUACCGGCGGCUCGAGUGGUGGCCACUUUUAUUGGGCUUAAAGCGUUCGUAGCUUGAAUAAUAAGUCUCUUGGGAAAUCUGCAGGCUUAACCUGCAGGCGUUUAAGAGAAACUGUUGUUCUAGGAACCGGAAGAGGUGAGAGGUACUCCGGGGGUAGGAGUGAAAUCCUGUAAUCCCCGGGGGACCACCGAUGGCGAAGGCAUCUCACCAGGACGGCUUCGACAGUGAGGAACGAAAGCUGGGGGAGCGAACCGGAUUAGAUACCCGGGUAGUCCCAGCCGUAAACGAUGUGCGUUAGGUGUGCCGGUGACCACGAGUCACUGGGGUGCCGAAAGGGAAACCGUGAAACGUACCGCCUGGGAAGUACGGUCGCAAGGCUGAACUUAAAGGAAUUUGGCGGGGGAGCACA
rnacentral:rRNA from 1 species